UACAGAGGGUGCUAGCGUUGUUCGGAAUCAUUGGGCGUAAAGCGCGUGUAGGCGGCUUGGUAAGUCUGCUCUGAAAGCCCGGGGCUCAACCCCGGGAGGCGGGUGGAUACUGCUGAGCUCGAGUCCGGAAGAGGCGAGUGGAAUUCCCGGUGUAGCGGUGAAAUGCGCAGAUAUCGGGAGGAACACCUAUGGCGAAGGCAGCUCGCUGGGACGUUACUGACGGCUGAGACGCGAAAGCGUGGGGAGCAAACAGG
rnacentral:rRNA from 1 species